UACGAAGGGGGCUAGCGUUGUUCGGAAUUACUGGGCGUAAAGCGUGCGCAGGCGGUUUUGUAAGUCUGUCGUGAAAGCCCCGGGCUCAACCUGGGAAUUGCGAUGGAGACUGCAAGGCUUGAGUCUGGCAGAGGGGGGUAGAAUUCCACGUGUAGCAGUGAAAUGCGUAGAGAUGUGGAGGAACACCGAUGGCGAAGGCAGCCCCCUGGGUCAAGAUUGACGCUCAUGCACGAAAGCGUGGGGAGCAAACAGG
rnacentral:rRNA from 1 species